rnacentral:rRNA from 1 species
CCUACGGGUGGCAGCAGUGAGGAAUAUUGGUCAAUGGGCGUAAGCCUGAACCAGCCAAGUCGCGUGAGGGAUGAAGGUCCUAUGGAUCGUAAACCUCUUUUAUAAGGGAAUAAAGUGUGGGACGUGUCCUAUUUUGUAUGUACCUUAUGCAUAAAGAUCGGCUAACUCCUUGUCAGCAGCCGCGGUAAUACGGAGGGUCCGAGCGUUAUCCGGAUUUAUUGGGUGUAAAGGGUGCGUAGGCGGCCUUGUAAGUCAGCGGUGAAAGUCUGUGGCUCAACCAUCGAAUUGCCGUUGAAACUGGGGGGCUGGAGUAUGGUUGAGGCAGGCGGAAUGCGUGGUGUAGCGGUGAAAUGCUUAGAUAUCACGCAGAACCCCGAUGGCGAAGGCAGCCUGCCAAGCCAUGACUGACGCUGAUGCACGAAAGCGUGGGGAUCAAACAGGAUUAGAUACCCUUGUAGUC